rnacentral:lncRNA from 1 species
CGAAUACCGAUGUAUGGUCAGUCAACUCCCCUAAACACCGUACGACUGCUAUGGGCUGCUUUCCUGACAAGGAUAUGUGGCGUGGCCGCCCUGGGGACAUUAUCCUGCCAAGGACAUAGAUCAACCCCAGUGAUUUGACAGCCCACGGUGACUUGACAAUCCACGAUGAUUCUGACAACCUCCGAUGAUUUGACAACUCUCCAAUUGUCUGUGCCAUUAAUGGCAAGACCACGCCGCACC